GGGAGAAGGAAUGUAAAGGGCUGGUGGCUGAAAAGGAGUGAAAUGGCCCCUCUUAGAGAUGAAGAAAUUUACGGAAUGGCUUGGGAAUGAGAAGAUUCAGGUGGGACCAUGGAAGCAAAGCUUGUUCUUUUGUGGAUGCACACCUGGGGAGUACAUCUGUGCAUUUAUCCUCUGUUCACAGCUGAGGCAACUGAGACUGAAACAGGCAAAGUGGUUUGUCCAAGAGCAAAGCCAGGGGCAGGGUGAGAAAUUGUUCAUUCAUUCAAUCAUGCAUCUAUUCUUGGCAAGGCACCAAAGUCUGUGUGGUGGUGGUGCACAGAGAUGGAUAUUGUCUAUGUGGCCUCUACCUUGCAAGAGCCUGCAGUCUCUGAGACAAUAAGCGGUUCAUGAAUUAUGCCUCCUAGAGUGCUCAGACAGCAAGGACCAGGGUUCAGAGGAGGAGAGGGUGAGAGUUCCCUAGGAUUCCUGGAGAGAGUUGGAUUCAGGGCCCAUGAGGGAUGGGUAGAAUUUUGGCAAAUGGAAGUGUGGCUAGUGGGAAUGACAGACAUGAAGGUGGGCAAAUUUAAGAUGUUUUGGAGAAUAUCUGACUACAGCAGGGCCGUUGUGGGGAAAGGGCAGGAGAGUAGAAAGGAGCGGGUUUCCCAGGAUGCUGAAUGCCCAGCCAAAAUACAUGGAUGAAUCCAUGAAUACAUGGAUUUCAGCCCAAGGGCAAUGGGGGUUGGACUUAUCUCUGACUUCUCGUAUUCACUCAUUAUUCUAACAUGUGCUGUACCUAGUGCUAAUAUGUGCUUAGUCUACAGGUAUUUUUCCACACAUCAGCUUUUCUAACCUUCGCGUCACUCUAAUGAGAUACAUAUUAUUCCUCCUUUAAUGGAUUAAAAAAUUGAUGCACUUAGAGGUUGAGACUUGCCUACGAUCAUGUAGCUAAUAACUGACAUAUGUGAGAUUUGAAAGUAGGAUUCCUGACUUCUACAUGGCGACAAAUGGAAAGAACGAGUGUAGAUUCUGGAGAGUGUACUCAGGAUGCCCAUCAAUAACAUGCCCCUCACCUUAGCUCAGUGUUGUUCCAGAAAAAAUAACUACAUAGGAGUGAAAUCUUUUUUUUUUUCUUUUGAGACAGGGUCUCACUCUGUUGCCC
rnacentral:lncRNA from 1 species